GUGGGGAAUCUUCCGCAAUGGACGAAAGUCUGACGGAGCAACGCCGCGUGAGUGAUGAAGGUCUUCGGAUUGUAAAGCUCUGUUAAUCGGGACGAAAGAGCCUAGUGUGAAUAAUGCUAGGAAGUGACGGUACCGGAAUAGAAAGCCACGGCUAACUACGUGCCAGCAGCCGCGGUAAUACGUAGGUGGCAAGCGUUGUCCGUAAUUAUUGGGCGUAAAGCGCGCGCAGGCGGAUCUGCCAGUCUGUCUUAACAGUUCGGGGCUUAACCCCGUGAUGGGAUGUCAACUACAGAUCUAGAGUAUCGGAGAGGAAAGUGGAAUUCCUAGUGUAGCGGUGAAAUGCGUAGAUAUUAGGAAGAACACCAGUGGCGAAGGCGACUUGCUGGACGAAAACUGACGCUGAGGCGCGAAAGCCAGGGGAGCGAACGGGAUUAGAAACCCCUGUAGUCC
rnacentral:rRNA from 1 species